UAUGCUUAGUAGUGACCAUCAAACAUUAUUAUUGAAAUAUAACAUGCUCUGUCAGGUGAAACGGGCUGGUUUAGAAAGUGGACGUUUGGUUUCGGUCAGCUUGUAGUCAUGCAUGUUUUUGUAAUGAUUAAACCCUAACAGAUGGAGACACAUUUGGGACUUUUAUUAGCCAAGAUGAAGCUGAUUCUGACCUAUUAGAGGCUGCCCACGAAGGAGCUGGUUGGAGUCACUAUUUCCGGCAGUUGCAAGGGGCUGCGGGUGUAUGGCGUUUAAAAGCAAUUGAAGAUGUGAGUGGCUGGAAAGAUAGAACAACUAUGGAGGACAUGGAUCAUGCAGUUUGGGCUAGCCUCAAUGGGUCCAGUAGAAGGCUUUUCCCCACAGGUAAGGUUUGCUCCAAAAUCUGUAUGGGCGGGUCCAGUAGCGGGUGAAAAUAAAGUAUUUUUUUCGAUUCAAUUUGAUUUCUUUAGAAAAAAAGGAUUGAUCGAUCUCUCAGUGUGUAGAAUUCUAAGUCAUACAAAGGUGGUUGUGACCGAAAACAAUCGUACGAAGUCUAUUCUUGUCGGGUUACACGGUGUCGUCAAGAAGGCUGCUGCAGGUCUUGGAGGCUGGCGUUCGCUGGUAAUUUUGUUGGGGAUUUAAUAAUUUUUAAAUUCAAAAGAAGGUUUUAAUGUUGUUCUUUAAGUGGAAUUGUUUUGUUUUGUUUUUUUUUAACAUUUUUGCUGACUGAUGAUUAUGUUAUUAACUUUUAUUGACAUCUUAAGUGUACUGCUUGUGACACCAAUUGUGAUUAUGUUGAUGUAUAUGAUUAUGUGUUACGUAAUAUUGUAAUGUAGAAAACUAGGGUUAUUUGUUGCUCGUAAUUAAUACUAAACUAGAUAACUUGCUUCAUCAAUUUGAAACUGAUAAUCGAACCUAUAACUGUUUUUUGAGUUUUUAGCUUAUUCCUAACAGAUCGAUUUUGGUCAUAAAGAGUUAGAUUACUUAGGUUAUUCGAAAAGAUGAUCCGGUUAGCUGCUGACUGUUGGCUUUACACGUGAGUGGAUUCAAGCUAAUAAGUUCAACUGUAUCUUGAGUGGAACAAGGUCUUUUUAAGCAAGGUACGUAUAAAUGCGCCAGGUUUUAGAUGCAGUUGGGCAAUUCGUCCCAACUAACGAAUUGCGAACCCGAACCGGAGCGAACCGCGAAUUAGGUGACUAUGGUGGGGAAUGUUAUUGAAAUCGUUGUCAUUAAAUUUAUUAUCUCUUUAUAUAAGAUGUGCUGGAAUCUUGGUGCACGCCGGCUUAGAAUCUGGCAAAUUUAAGACAUUGUUUACAUUACAGUUUAAAAAUGUUCAAUUGCAAGGAAAUUAAGACAAUCUUUACUGGUUGUUGUGUAAGUAAGUUGCUUUUGAAUUCAUGCAGGUAUGGGGUUUGGUUUCUUGGCUACCUUGGCUGGAUUAACCUGGUUGUAUUUUGGCAUCAAGAAGAGAAACCUGGUGAAACUUAGACAAAAGAUGUUCCAAAGAAAUGGUGGUUUGCUACUACAACGACGCGAACUAUUUCGACGCGAACCGUUUCGACCCGAACCCGUUCCAACUUUUAUUCAGCUUUGUAUAUUCCUAAUAUCUGUAGAAAGUCAUUUUGCUUCAUGCUUUCGGUUUAUAUGAUCUUGGCCACUUGGGUAUGUUUGAUACAUGCAGGGAGCAGUUCCAGAUAUCCUAGCUAAAACGAAAGACGACCAGUACCGUUUCUGGCCAGCUGAAGGUUAUCCAUUCAGCCCGGGCAAAUGCUACACACAAUCAUGGAUUUGAUGCAGAUAGGCUUAUUGUUGCGGAAGCGUGAUUAUUCAAGAAACGAGUGUCGUAUCAUGCAAAAGGAAGAAGCGGAGUAAGAGUGAGACCCGUUUUGACCCCCGACCUGACCCGUUUGCCAGGUAUUAUUAAUUACGGCCAAUGAUUUGGAGAUUGCAACCAACAAUUAUGCCAAGGAUAUGAUUCUGGGCCAAGGUGACUUUGGUACUGUGUAUAAAGGUAUUUUGCAUGACAAACGAGUGGUAGCAAUCAAGAAGUCCAAAGAAAUGGAUGAUAGCCAAACAGUGGCGAAGCUUGACAUGUUCGACGGGGGGGUCGGAAACGUAUAUACCCAAAAAUUUCUAUAGAACCGGGGGGUCAAAAACGCAUAUACCCAAACCUUUCUAUACGAAAACUACACUACUGAGCGAAAAGUUCGGGGGGUCGGGCGCCCCUCCCGGCCCCUUCAAAGCUUCGCCAAUGUAGCCAAAUACAACAAUUCAUAAAUAAAGUAGUCAUCUUAACACGAGUUAACCAUCGGAAUGUGGUCAAGUUCUCUUGGGGUGUUGUUUAGAGACAGAUUCCAUCAUUGGUUAUAUCGUCGGUGACUUCUAUUAGUUAUAAAAAUAAAGAUGUAUGUUUGGUAACGGGUUUAAGAACUAUUCGAAUGUGUUUAUUGGGCCAAACAAAUAGGCGACAAAACAAAUGUACCCGCGGCAACGCGCGGGCAUUCCCAUUAGUAGUUAAUAAUUCACAAGCUAGGUGUUUGAAUACAAAAUGGCUCCUCUUAAUUAUAUAUAGGCCGACAUAUCUCCAAUUUUAGUAACUUAAACAUCUUGCAAGUGAAUCCCACGCACUUGGAGUUUGGUGAUGUUACUUACCACCAUGAAUGCUGACCCAUCAUGAUAAAACCAUGAACCAUUGCAUGCGGUCACAAUUUUGCUCUACACGUGUGAAAGGUAACAUGCAUAUAUAUAAACUUCACUAAGCAGCCUCUGCUUGCCGCUACAGCAGCUUCCUCGUCUCACCAGUUUUCAUAUUUAUGACUAAACUUCACAAAUUAAGCAGAUUACUGGGAACCAGUCAAACUGGUAAAGAUCGGCCUCUGUAAGUGUACCAUGCACAACCUCUUUCAUCCUUCACGUACGUCAACAAGGGAAACCUCUCCUCUCUUUUAACUUCAACCUCUUUGACCACCACCACUCUACCGCUGCAGAUUACUAGGGUGGAGCCCGUGGAGAUGCAUGAACUUAAAGAUCAAAACUGGUACAAAUUAAAAUCUAAAAAACGGUAUAAUUAUAAUUAGAUUAAAGGUAUAAUAAUGAAAACCUUGUUAUACAAGUUGUUUAAAAAGGUUAGCCUUUUAAGACUACAGGCAAGGGCAAAGAAUCAAAUCCCGUCAUGUGUGCGUCAUGUAGGCAGAGCGGGCUUUGCCCUCCUAAAACAAAAAAAAAAAAAAAA